GUGGUCCACUUUUAAUUGCAUGUAGUUCGGGUAAGAUUUUUUAAAUAAAAUUUGUUAUUGAAAAACAAUUAAUGAGGACACGAAUUGAUGAACCUCCGACUGCUAAACAGAAUGUAUUGCAAGAUGAGAAACAGGAUCAAAGCGAUGGCAAGGCUCCGUGGGUAAACUUGUUCGAAGACAAUAGAAGCAUAGAUGAAGGCUUCAAAUUUUGUUCCAUUGAUGAUCGGCCGGAUGAAAUUGUGUUGGAAGAAGGAGACGUGGACAACGUUGAACAGGCCUGGGGAUUUUGUCUUGUUGGGUACUUUGCUGGCAGAUUUCCAGGUAAGGCUGCUCUUCUUCGACUAUGUGACUCUUGGAAAGUUGAUUAUCAAUUCUUUGUUCAUGCAAGUGGUUGGCUAAUUUUCAGGUUUGAAAAUGAGGCUUCAAGGACUAGUGUACUUCAUGGGGGGCCUUAAAACGUUGUUGGGAGGGCCCUUGCGCUAAAAACUAUGCCCCAUUGUUUCGAAUUUGAUGAUAAUAAGGUGAGCUCUUUUCCGGUUUGUGAAAGGCAGACAUACACGGUUGGAAAGAAACAAGAAAACGGAGCAGCAACCAUAGCGGGCAGAACAACGAAAGGCAGAAAAUGGGGUUGCAAACAAUGAUGCUAACAGGUCAAAGGCAACUCCAAAUGAAAAGCUUAAAGGGAAGUUGGAUGAAUUACCUAAAGAAACAACUAAGAAGGAUACAAGGAAGGGCAGCAUAUCAUCAUGAAAGUCAUAUUUUGGAAUAUCAGGGGAUUCAAUAUACCCCUGAAAAAAAAGGUGCACGUCACCUCAUUAAGCAACACAAUAUUGAUGCUUUUUGUUUUUUGGAGACGAAAGUUAAUCAAGCAAAGUUGAUGCAGAUCACGGGAAAUAAAUUUGGUGGAUGAAGGCAAGUGGAUAAUUUCUUCUCACAUCCUGCAAGAAGAAGCUUUUUUUUUUUUUUUUUAAGACGGAGGAAUCCACAGUCACUACCUCGUAUGAAGAAUUUUGAUCCUAUGGAAUGCGGGUAAAGUUGAUCUUCAAGUUUUGAAAGCAACCCCUCAAGUGAUACAUUGUCAUGUUACUUGGGAGGUAACUUCCAUCUCAACUUGUAAAAGUAUUGUUUUUUCAUCUCAUUCUAUUGUUACUCAAAAAUCACUUUGGAGCAAUAUAUUAGACUUUCGUGCGGAUUGCUCGGGUCCUUGGUUGAUCAUGGGAGAUUUCAAUAAUUUCCUAAUAUAUGACGAGAAAUUUAAUAGAGUG
rnacentral:lncRNA from 1 species